UAGACACGGUCAACAUUCCGUGACUACCUUUAGGAGCGAUGCGGAGACGGAGCAGUGACACUUCCGCGAGCCGACGGAAUGGCUCGUUGAAGAGUGUAGACGUAGAUCACGGCAGGCAAAUCCGCCGUGAGAGUCGAACUUGAAAGUACAGGGUCCUCUUCGGAGGAACCUGAUAGCGAGGGUAAGCAUACUCCCGAGAAAAUCCGCUAAGCAAUCCUAAAGGUACCCGUACCGUAAACGGACACACGUAGUCGGGUAGAACAUACUAAGGCGUUGAGAGAUUCAUGGUUAAGGAACUAGGCAAACUGACCCCGUAACUUCGGGAUAAGGGGUCCUCGUGAAAGCGAGGCGCAGAGAAUAGGUCCAGGCAACUGUUUAACAAAAACACAGGGCUGUGCGAACUCGAAAGAUGAAGUAUACAGCCUGACACCUGCCCGGUGCCGGAAGGUUAAGAGGAGAUGUCAACCUUUAUGGCGAAGCAUUGAAUUGAAGCCCCGGUAAACGGCGGCCGUAACAAUAACGGUCCUAAGGUAGCGAAAUUCCUUGUCGGGUAAGUUCCGACCUGCACGAAUGGUGUAAUGAUCCGGACGCUGUCUCAACCAUGAGCUCAGUGAAAUUGUAGUAUCGGUGAAGAUGCCGAUUACCCGCGAUGGGACGAAAAGACCCCGUGAACCUUUACUACAGCUUAGCAUUGACCUUGGUCAUCCGAUGUGUAGGAUAGGCCGGAGGCUUCGAAGCGGCGUCGCCAGGCGUCGUGGAGCCAUCCUUGAAAUACGGCCCUUUGGCUGUCUGAGGUCUAACUCGUCAGUGCGAGGACACUGUUUGGUGGGUAGUUUGACUGGGGUGGUCGCCUCCAAAAGCGUAACGGAGGCUUCCAAAGGUGCCCUCGGGCCGAUUGGUAACCGGCCUUAUAGAGAGCAAUGGCAUAAGGGCGCUUGACUGGGAGGCAGACAUGCCGAGCAGACAGGAAACUGGGGCAUAGUGAUCCGGCGGAUGUGUAUGGAAACUCCGUCGCUCAAAGGAUAAAAGGUACUCCGGGGAUAACAGGCUGAUCCCCCCCAAGAGCUCAUAUCGACGGGGUGGUUUGGCACCUCGAUGUCGGCUCGUCACAUCCUGGGGCUGGAGAAGGUCCCAAGGGUUGGGCUGUUCGCCCAUUAAAGUGGCACGCGAGCUGGGUUCAGAACGUCGUGAGACAGUUCGGUCUCUAUCUAUCGUGGGCGCAGGAGUUUUGAGUGGUGCCGUCACUAGUACGAGAGGACCGUGAUGGACAGACCUCCGGUUUGCCAGUUGUGCCGCCAGGCGCACCGCUGGGUAUCCGAGUCUGGUUAGGAUAAGCGCUGAAAGCAUCUAAGUGCGAAGCCAUCCGCAAGAUGAGAACUCCAUUGAGGGUCGUUGUAGACGACGACGUAGAUAGGCUGCAGGUGUAAAGACGGUGACGUCAAAGCCGAGCAGUACUAAUUGCCCU
rnacentral:rRNA from 1 species